GCGUCGAUGUCGCAACGGUCAGCAUAUGCUCCCAGAAAGAGUGAGAUCUAGGUUCGAAUCCCGGCUGACGCA